UACGGAAUGUGCAAACGUUAUUCGGAAUCACUGGGCUUAAAGAGUCCGUAGGCGGCAUGUUAGGUGAGGUGUGAAAUCCCCCGGCUCAACCGAGGAAUUGCGCUUCAAACCGGCGUGCUCGAGGAAGAUAGAGGUGGGCGGAACUGAUGGUGGAGCGGUGAAAUGCGUUGAUAUCAUCAGGAACACCGGAGGCGAAAGCGGCCCACUGGGUCUUUUCUGACGCUGAGGGACGAAAGCUAGGGGAGCGAACGGGA
rnacentral:rRNA from 1 species